GACUCGGUGGCGGAUGGUCCGCAUCUGCUCAGGCUAAAUGUCAAGCAGGCAGUAGAAGCAGAAGGCGUUGGUUCGAAUCCGGCCUGAGUCA